rnacentral:rRNA from 1 species
AUACGGAGGGUGCGAGCGUUACUCGGAGUCACUGGGCGUAAGGCGUCCGUAGGCGGUCGGGUAAGUCGGGUGUGAAAGCCCCGGGCUCAACCUGGGAAGUGCACCCGAUACUGCUCGACUCGAGUGCGGGAGAGGAUGGCGGAAUUCCCGGUGUAGCGGUGAAAUGCGUAGAGAUCGGGAGGAACACCAGUGGCGAAGGCGGCCAUCUGGCCCGCAACUGACGCUGAGGGACGAAAGCGUGGGGAGCAAACAGGAGUAGAAACCCUAGUAGUCC